rnacentral:rRNA from 1 species
AGUGAACGCUGGCGGUAGGCCUAACACAUGCCAGUCGAACGGCAGCACAGUAAGAGCUUGCUCUUACGGGUGGCGAGUGGCGGACGGGUGAGGAAUACAUCGGAAUCUACUUUUUCGUGGGGGAUAACGUAGGGAAACUUACGCUAAUACCGCAUACGACCUACGGGUGAAAGCAGGGGAUCUUCGGACCUUGCGCGAUUGAAUGAGCCGAUGUCGGAUUAGCUAGUUGGCGGGGUGAAGGCCCACCAAGGCGACGAUCCGUAGCUGGUCUGAGAGGAUGAUCAGCCACACUGGAACUGAGACACGGUCCAGACUCCUAAGGGAGGCAGCAGUGGGGAAUAUUGGACAAUGGGCGCAAGCCUGAUCCAGCCAUACCGCGUGGGUGAAGAAGGCCUUCGGGUUGUAAAGCCCUUUUGUUGGGAAAGAAAAGCAGCAGGUUAAUACCCCGCUGUUCUGACGGUACCCAAAGAAUAAGCACCGGCUAACUUCGUG